GAUGAACGCUGGCGGCGUGCCUAAUACAUGCAAGUCGAGCGAACAGACGAGGAGCUUGCUCCUCUGACGUUAGCGGCGGACGGGUGAGUAACACGUGGAUAACCUACCUAUAAGACUGGGAUAACUUCGGGAAACCGGAGCUAAUACCGGAUAAUAUAUUGAACCGCAUGGUUCAAUAGUGAAAGACGGUUUUGCUGUCACUUAUAGAUGGAUCCGCGCCGCAUGAGCUAGUUGGUAAGGGAACGGCUUACCAAGGCAACGAUGCGUAGCCGACCUGAGAGGGUGAUCGGCCACACUGGAACUGAGACACGGUCCAGACUCCUACGGGAGGCCGCAGUAGGGAAUCUUCCGCAAUGGGCGAAAGCUUGACGGAGCAACGCCGCGUGAGUGAUGAAGGUCUUCGGAUCGUAAAACUCUGUUAUUAGGGAAGAACAAAUGUGUAAGUAACUAUGCACGUCUUGACGGUACCUAAUCAGAAAGCCACGGCUAACUACGUG
rnacentral:rRNA from 1 species